CUCGGCAACGGAUAUCUCGGCUCUCGCAUCGAUGAAGAACGUAGCGAAAUGCGAUACUUGGUGUGAAUUGCAGAAUCCCGUGAACCAUCGAGUCUUUGAACGCAAGUUGCGCCCGAAGCCGUCAGGCCAGGGCACGUCUGCCUGGGCGUCACG
rnacentral:rRNA from 1 species